AUUAAUUAACAUCAAAAUAUUACUUAAAAAUAAAUAAUAAAUAAAUUAUUAAUAAUUAAUUAUAAAUAUUAAUAAUUAUUAAUAAUUAAUUUAUAAAUAAUAAAAUAAUAAUAUCGAUUAUCUAAUUAGUAAUAAUAAUUAUUAUUAAUAAUUAUUAAUAAAUAAUUAUAAAUAAUGAAUUAAUAAUAAUAUCGAUUAUCUAAUUAUUAGUAAUAAUUAUUAAUAAGUAUUAAUUUAUAAUAAUAUCGAUUAUCUAAUUAUUAAUAAUAAUAUUUAUUAAUAAAUAAUAAUAAUUACCAACCGUCCCUAGUGCAAGUGGCAAAGGGCUUGGUGGUUAGUAUCCGAAACCCAAGUUUGAAUCCUUGUUGAUUCACAUUUCCAGCUAAGUUUAUUUCUAAAUGAAAUAAACGAAGCAGAUAACAUGCUACCUUCCUCUAAAAAAAAUAAUAAUAAAUAAUAAUAAUUAUAAAAAUUAUUAAUAAUAAAUUAUAAAUAAUAAUUUAAUAAUAUUAAUUAUCGAAUUAUUAAUAAUUAAUUAUAAAUAACAAAUUAAUAAUAAUAUCGAUUAUCUAAUAAUUAAGAAUAAUAAUUAUUAAUAAUUAAAUAUAAAUAAUAACUUAAUAAUAAUUAUUAUCUAAUUAUUAAUAAUUCAUUAUUUUAUUAUUUAAGCAAUAAAUAAUAAUUGAAAUAUAUUAAUUAGAUUAAUUAAUGAUUUACGAUCAUUAAAAUUAAAUUUAGACUUUAAUUAACCUUGUUCUCAUCCGGGAACAAGCUUGUUCCAAGAAAAGGGUGGAACAGCAGUUCCAGCCUUAUACCAGCUUAUUCCAGAAACUCG
rnacentral:lncRNA from 1 species